GAUUUAUGUCUCGUUGGUGACCAGCGGAGGGUCAUUACCGAGUUUACAACUCCCAAACCCCUGUGAACAUACCUUAUGUUGCCUCGGCGGAUCAGCCCGCGCCCCGUAAAAAGGGACGGCCCGCCGCAGGAACCCUAAACUCUGUUUUUAGUGGAACUUCUGAGUAUAAAAAACAAAUAAAUCAAAACUUUCAACAACGGAUCUCUUGGUUCUGGCAUCGAUGAAGAACGCAGCAAAAUGCGAUAAGUAAUGUGAAUUGCAGAAUUCAGUGAAUCAUCGAAUCUUUGAACGCACAUUGCGCCCGCCAGUAUUCUGGCGGGCAUGCCUGUUCGAGCGUCAUUUCAACCCUCAAGCCCAGCUUGGUGUUGGGAGCUGCAGUCCUGCUGCACUCCCCAAAUACAUUGGCGGUCACGUCGAGCUUCCAUAGCGUAGUAAUUUACACAUCGUUACUGGUAAUCGUCGCGGCCACGCCGUUAAACCCCAACUUCUGAAUGUUGACCUCGGAUCAGGUAGGAAUACCCGCUGAACUUAAGCAUAUCU
rnacentral:rRNA from 1 species